CCUACGGGAGGCAGCAGUGGGGAAUAUUGGACAAUGGGCGAAAGCCUGAUCCAGCAACGCCGCGUGAGGGAUGACUGCCUUCGGGUUGUAAACCUCUUUCAGCGGGGACGAAGCGAAAGUGACGGUACCCGCAGAAGAAGCACCGGCCAACUACGUGCCAGCAGCCGCGGUAAUACGUAGGGUGCGAGCGUUGUCCGGAAUUAUUGGGCGUAAAGGGCUCGUAGGCGGUUUGUCACGUCGGGAGUGAAAACUCAGGGCUCAACCCUGAGCCUGCUUCCGAUACGGGCAGACUAGAGGUAUGCAGGGGAGAACGGAAUUCCUGGUGUAGCGGUGAAAUGCGCAGAUAUCAGGAGGAACACCGGUGGCGAAGGCGGUUCUCUGGGCAUUACCUGACGCUGAGGGGCGAAAGUGUGGGGAGCGAACAGGAUUAGAUACCCUGGUAGUCCACACCGUAAACGUUGGGCGCUAGGUGUGGGACUCAUUCCACGAGUUCCGUGCCGCAGCUAACGCAUUAAGCGCCCGCCUGGGGAGUACGGCCGCAGGCUAAAACUUAAAGGAAUUGACGG
rnacentral:rRNA from 1 species